AUUGAACGCUGGCGGCAUGCCUUACACAUGCAAGUCGAACGGCAGCGGGGGAGAAGCUUGCUUUUCCUGCCGGCGAGUGGCGAACGGGUGAGUAAUACAUCGGAACGUGCCCUGUAGUGGGGGAUAACUAGUCGAAAGAUUAGCUAAUACCGCAUACGACCUGAGGGUGAAAGUGGGGGACCGUAAGGCCUCAUGCUAUAGGAGCGGCCGAUGUCUGAUUAGCUAGUUGGUGGGGUAAAGGCCUACCAAGGCGACGAUCAGUAGCUGGUCUGAGAGGACGAUCAGCCACACUGGGACUGAGACACGGCCCAGACUCCUACGGGAGGCAGCAGUGGGGAAUUUUGGACAAUGGGCGAAAGCCUGAUCCAGCAAUGCCGCGUGUGUGAAGAAGGCCUUCGGGUUGUAAAGCACUUUUGUCCGGAAAGAAAUGGCUCUGGUUAAUACCUGGGGUCGAUGACGGUACCGGAAGAAUAAGCACCGACUAACUACGUGCCAGCCGCCGCAGUAA
rnacentral:rRNA from 1 species